GUAGUAAGACUACCUUCUUCCCCUCUCCUUUUCCAAUUACUCACCAUUUUCUUUCACUGAGGAUACCAGCAAUGGGACUCUAAUUUUUCUUCCACUUUGUAGACUGUGUGUCCCUGAAGUUUUUCAUUUCCUGGAAGACAUAAUUACAAUCCUAAUUGUCAAUUACUUUCCCUUGUUUCAGUUGACCAUGAGCUCUAUUGUUCUAAAAUCUGCCCCCACGACAGUGCCAGUAAUUUAGACAAGUCAUCUAUGGACAAUGUGCAUUCUGUCCAGAAGCUCCGAACACUAUUAUCACGUGGCAUGGUGCUUUGAACAGGAAAUAUUUCCUACAGGCUUCUGUCUUUGAAUACCUAGUCUUCAACUACUGCUGUUUGGAAAAGUCCUGGAAUCUUGAAGAGGCAGAGCUUUGCUGGAAGAAAUGUGCCUUGAGGUUUUCAGCCUAGCCCCAGAAAGCAAUAGUAAACAGCUAGGCUUCUGCUCCUACCUCAAUCCUUUCCUGUUGUGAUGGAAUACAUCCCAUCAAAUACAAUCUAAACAAAACCUUA